GCCACUUCAAAACAGAAAGUCCCGGACGGAAAGACGUCUUUCGUAAAGAACGUAAAAAAAACAUUGUAAAUCAUAUAGUGUGAUAAAGCGGCAGUCUCAUAGCCAGCGGCAUCGGAGUCGAAGUCAUCUUAGAAUGCGAUUCUCUUGUAUUAUUUCACUCUUUGUAUUUAGCUUCAUGAAGGAGUCUCUGGAAACGAUAGUCCAGAGGAAAGUUAAUCUGGGAGACACUGUGAAAUUUCACUGUACUAUCUCAUACCACUUUGAGAUUACCUGGCUGAGACAUGGACCCGGUCAAAUCCCCAGCGUUCUUCUGGUCGCAAAACUUGAUGAUGACGGUAAAAUUCUUGUUGUCCUUCGACAAAGCAAUCGUUUCGUCGGAGUCAUUUCAAAUCGAUCAAUCGCCCUGACGGUUACGGACAUAAAAGAGGAUGAUUAUGCGCUGUAUUAUUGCACGGGGAAAGAGGGUCGAACUCUACAGUUUGGAAAAGGAACCCAACUUCUGGCUCCAGUUCCAGCUAACCACAGCGGCUCAAUCGGUCCAGCUAACCACAGCGGCCCGGGCGGUGCAGCUAACCACAGCGGCCCGGGCGGUGCCCUGUUUUACCCGCUGUACGUCGCCGUGCUGGGCUGCGGCCAGCUGGGCAUGAUCUGCGCCGUCGCCACUGCUCACCUGAGGAGCAGGAGGCGACUCACUGACUGAGACGCUCCGCCCCCCUCUGCGCCACGGUCCUCAAAGGGCAGUCAACCGUUUGUGGCACCCUCCCCCCUCCACAUUUUUGCGAAAACUGUCUUUUUCCUGUUAUCAUGAAGGGGAGGGGGAUUGGGGGGGGGGGGGGGGGGUGACCAGCCUCAUCCUCACCACUUGAUCAUUCUGACCUCAGACUUUCUCAACACAACUUUUUAAAUUCAUGUUUUGUUUGUUACCUUUUAUCCUAAAUAAAACUCUUUACUGACCAAAAGGUUUA